rnacentral:lncRNA from 1 species
AAAAAAAACAUUUAAAUAAAAUAUUGGGAAAGAUAAAUUUAUUAUAAAUAACGGUGAUUCUAAUGAUCAUUUUACAUUUGUCUCAAUUGAGAUUUAAACUUCGUCUUUUGAGGUUGCAAUUAAUCUCUUACCAAUUUUCAAAUCGAUGACGAUUUUCUAAUCGAUGACGACAUUCACAUAUGCGAAAAACGCAUUUUCCAACAUAAAGACCACAAUUAAUGAAUUUACAUUCAUAAUCAUCUUUACAUGGCGUUGGUGUUACUGUGAUAUAAAAGAGAAGAAACAAAUAUUAGCGAAAGGAGUGAAAGAUUUUGUAUAAGAUAAACAAGAAAGUUCAAAAGGGUGAAAAAAAUGGUUUACCUGCACUAGCUUCCGGUAAAACAAGAAAUAAGGAAAUAAAGAGGAUUAAUAAAUAAACAAAUUUAAUAAUUUUUGUCAUAUUUUUUCUUCUAAGCUUGCAACAACUAAAAACUUAUUAACCACUUUAUGUUGCAAAAGUUCUAUGUUUUUGUUUAUUUGUUUCGAUAAAUAUUUGUUUGAAUUUAUAGAUUUUCAAGAAUACUUUAAAAAAUUACAACUUUCAUGUUUGUCUGUUUAGCUCGAUCAAUCGACAA